rnacentral:rRNA from 1 species
GACGAACGCUGGCGGCGUGCCUAAUACAUGCAAGUAGAACGCUGAAGGAGGAGCUUGCUUCUCUGGAUGAGUUGCGAACGGGUGAGUAACGCGUAGGUAACCUGCCUGGUAGCGGGGGAUAACUAUUGGAAACGAUAGCUAAUACCGCAUAAGAGUAGAUGUCGCAUGACAUUUGCUUAAAAGGUGCAAUUGCAUCACUACCAGAUGGACCUGCGUUGUAUUAGCUAGUUGGUGAGGUAACGGCUCACCAAGGCAACGAUACAUAGCCGACCUGAGAGGGUGAUCUGCCAAACUGGGACGGAAACACGGCCCAGAAUCCUACGGGAGAGAGCAGUAGGGGAUCUUCAGCAAUGGACGGAGGGCUGACCGAGAGACGCCGCGUGAGUGAAGAAGGUUUUCGGGUCGUAAAGCUCUGUUGUGAGAGAAGAACGAGUGUGAGAGUGGAAAGUUCACACUGUGACGGUAUCUUACCAGGAAGGGACGGCUAACUACGUG